AUGUNUUUUUGAUGAUAAUUUAAAGUCGAAUCUGCCCACUGAUUAAUAAUUAAAGGGCUGCAGUAUAUUGACUGUACAAAGGUAGCAUAAUAAUUAGUCUUUUAAUUGAAGACUUGUAUGAAAGAUUUGAUGAGAUAUAAACUGUCUCUUUUUUAAAAUUAAAAUUUAAUUUUUUAGUAAAAAAGCUAAAAUAAAUUUAAAAGACGAGAAGACCCUAUAGAGUUUUAUAAUUGAAUUAUUUAAAAAUUUAUUUUUAAUUUAAAAAAUAAUUAGUUUAAUUAUUUUAUUGGGGUGAUAAAAAAAUUAAAAUAACUUUUUUUUUUAUUUUAAACAUUAAUUAAUGAAUAAUUGAUCCAUAAUUUAUGAUUAUAAGAAAAAAUUACCUUAGGGAUAACAGCGUAAUUUUUUUUUUUAGUUCUUAUAAGAAAAAAAGUUUGCGACCUCGAUGUUGGAUUAAGAUAAAAUUUAAAUGCAGAAGUUUAAAGUUUUGAUCUGUUCGAUCAUUAAAAUCUUACAUGAUCUGAG
rnacentral:rRNA from 1 species